GACGAACGUUGGCGGCGCGCUUAAUGCAUGCAAGUCGAGGGAGAAGCGUUGGUUCCGUAAGGUUCCGACGUGGAAACCGGCGAACGGGUGCGUAACACGUGAGAAACCUGCCCCCAGACCGGGAUAGCCCAGGGAAACUUGGAUUAAUACCGGAUACUCUCUCGGGACCGCAUGGUCCCUUGAGGAAAGGUCCGCUGCUGGGGGAUGGUCUCGCGGCCUAUCAGGUAGUUGGUGAGGUAACGGCUCACCAAGCCGAAGACGGGUAGCUGGUCUGAGAGGACGAUCAGCCACACUGGAACUGAGACACGGUCCAGACUCCUACGGGAGGCAGCAGCAGGGAAUAUUGCACAAUGGGCGAAAGCCUGAUGCAGCGACGCCGCGUGCGGGAUGAAGGCCUUCGGGUUGUAACCGCUUUCAGG
rnacentral:rRNA from 1 species